CCGAAACCCGGUGAUCUAGCCAUGGGCAGGUUGAAGGUUGGGUAACACUAACUGGAGGACCGAACCGACUAAUGUUGAAAAAUUAGCGGAUGACUUGUGGCUGGGGGUGAAAGGCCAAUCAAACCGGGAGAUAGCUGGUUCUCCCCGAAAGCUAUUUAGGUAGCGCCUCGUGAAUUCAUCUCCGGGGGUAGAGCACUGUUUCGGCAAGGGGGUCAUCCCGACUUACCAACCCGAUGCAAACUACGAAUACCGGAGAAUGUUAUCACGGGAGACACACGGCGGGUGCUAACGUCCGUCGUGAAGAGGGAAACAACCCAGACCGCCAGCUAAGGUCCCAAAGUCAUGGUUAAGUGGGAAACGAUGUGGGAAGGCCCAGACAGCCAGGAUGUUGGCUUAGAAGCAGCCAUCAUUUAAAGAAAGCGUAAUAGCUCACUGGUCGAGUCGGCCUGCGCGGAAGAUGUAACGGGGCUAAACCAUGCAC
rnacentral:rRNA from 1 species